UACGUAGGGUGCGAGCGUUAAUCGGAAUUACUGGGCGUAAAGCGUGCGCAGGCGGUUCGUUUGUGUCGGCGGUGAAAGCCCCCGGGCUUAACCUGGGAAUUGCAUUUUGAUACUCUGGAGCUUUGAGUGUGGGAGAGGAGAGUGGAAAUUCCCCAGUGUAGAGGUGAAAAUUCGUAGAUAUUUGGGAAGAACACCGGUGGCGAAGGCGGCUCUCUGGACCACAACUGAC
rnacentral:rRNA from 1 species